UGAUCCGUAUGUGCCAGGGAGCUCAAAACAACCGGAAAAUGACAGGGUUGAAAAAUCGCCCAAUUUCGACAAAAACCGAAUGUACCGGCUCGUGGAACAGUGUUUCGGCAGUGUGUGCGUGUGUCCGGUGUGUUUGAUUCGGUGAAAAGUGAGGUAGACAACGAUCAACAAAUAUCAGCAAAGAAUGUCCAGACGCGAUCAUGAAAGAGCAACAGAACUUAUCAAUUAUUUAUAAUAUAGACCAUUUUAUCAAGUUUAUUUUGAAAUAGCGCGCCGAAUGUUGUCAAAAAUCAAGCAUCCUGCAAAAAUAAUGUUAGCAAUAAGUAUUAAUUCUUGUAGGCUUUAUGUUUAUUUUAAUAGAGAAAAUAAACCGUAAAACUGUUGCAAAAAAUAUAGACAUAUGUAAGGUAAUACGAUAUACAAUUUUGUGGAUUAACAUCAGGUCUUAAUUUUUGCCGAAUGUGCAUGUAAUGUAUAUACAUAUAUAUCACUGUAUAAAAUAAAAUGUAUAUAUAUAUAUAUAUCCUUGAUUUUAAUGCUUGGAAAUAAAUAUUAAAUG